rnacentral:rRNA from 1 species
UACGUAGGGGGCAAGCGUUGUCCGGAAUCAUUGGGCGUAAAGAGCGUGUAGGCGGCCCGGUAAGUCCGUUGUGAAAGUCCAGGGCUCAACCCUGGAAUGCCGAUGGAUACUGCCGGGCUAGAGUUCGGAAGAGGCGAGUGGAAUUCCUGGUGUAGCGGUGGAAUGCGCAGAUAUCAGGAGGAACACCUAUAGCGAAGGCAGCUCGCUGGGACGACACUGACGCUGAGACACGAAAGCGUGGGGAGCAAACAGG